rnacentral:rRNA from 1 species
UCCGUAGGGUGCAAGCGUUGUCCGGAAUUAUUGGGCGUAAAGAGCGUGUAGGCGGCCCGGUUAGUCCGCUGUGAAAGUCCAGGGCUCAACCCUGGAAUGCCGGUGGAUACUGUCGGGCUAGAGUCCGGAAGGGGCGAGUGGAAUUCCUGGUGUAGCGGUGAAAUGCGCAGAUAUCAGGAGGAACACCGGUGGCGAAGGCGGGUCUCUGGGCCAUUACUGACGCUGAGGAGCGAAAGCGUGGGGAGCGAACAGG